GCGUCCGGGACGGGGCGGGGUUGACGUCCGCGGGGCUCAGGCGCGAGGCCCGGCGGCCCCGGAGGAAUCGCACAGCCGUGUGGGCAAAGUGCGGCCGCGGGGGAGCCGCAGGCGCCGACGCCGUGAGGGCCGCUUUCCCGGCCCUCACAGAGGCAAGCGAGGCUUUUGUGUCGCCCGCAAGGCCGCGGUGGCCGAAUCGGCCCUGGCCGGAACGUUCUGCCGCGGGCCGCGGAGAGGCAGCAGGGCGCAGGCGCCUUAGGCGUGCCUCCCGUCCGUUUGACAGCAUUAAAAAAAAAGCUAAUCUUAAAGGAAUAAAAUAAAAUAGAGCCACAAGACCAGAUCACCGAGAGAGUCUAGGAAGAAAAGAAGCCCUUACACUGAAUCCUGGCAGACUCCAAUAUAAGUUCCUGGAGAAGAGGAGGAACCUCCUGUGUGGAAUGCCAGCAUAUUUUUUAUUAAGCAAAGAGCCAUUUUUCAACCUCACAUCUUAACAGGUUCCAGAAGUUCUAUCGUGAAAGGAUGAGAUUUCGUUUCGUGAUUGAUGUUUGAUCUAUUGGAAUCAUUACUUAUUUUGCAUUUGCAAAAUAAACUUUGGCAAAGAGGAGUCCUUUUAGGUAUAUUCCUAACUCAGUAAGAAAGUGCUCAAUACUUAAUUGUUUGGUUACUUAUAACCAGCUGGGAGAUCAUAGUAAGUAAUUAAUUACCAUGAGAUUGAUGAGCAAAAUCAGCCCCCUAUGACAAAUGUAGUUUGCAACAUUAAGUGAACAACAUAAAAUCUUCUGAAACAAACAUUCCAACAAAUAAACUUUUUGUCCUAAACUUUUA